ensembl:lncRNA
CUCGAAAGCCUGCACCAUCUGGACUGGCUUGUGUUUUACUAGACUGUUGUGAUGUUGUGUGAUAACUAAAAGAACUAUAUGUAUAAUCAUUUUAAAAUAUAGUAUUUUUGAGAGUAUAAAUGUGUUGCUCCUGUCAGUUGGUUUACUUUGCCUGACUCUGUUUUAUAUUGUGUUGUUGUGUGCUGGUUUGUAAUGCUUCUGUGGGGUAGGUCUGACUGGAUUCGACUGGCUCAUACUGAACAAAAGCAGAUGAGGAACUACUGCGAUGCUGCUGAGGCUGGAGCUAUCUAGUUCAGACCGGUAGCUGGGUGCUGCUUUCAACACUGAAGGGCUCUUUGAGGCUGGGGGGGGGGGGUUAUUGUCAUCUGUGUGAUUAAUUGAGGGAAGACAGCCUUCAGAGGUUUCAGAGUUACUACUGUAAAAGGUGUGAAGCCGAACCCCUUCCUCCCCCGUCCCGCGUGGCUCUGUGCACGUAACACCUGCCUGCCGCUUCACAGCGGUACAAGAUGUUCUCUCAACAAGAUGUUCUGCAAAAGAGGAACAACCACUUUCACUUUCUGUUGCUGCUGAAAAAAAGUGAUAGAUGUUUGGAAUAACAUGAGGGUAAGUAAAUGAUGACAGUUUUUUCAUUUUUGGGCAGACUAUCCUUUUUAAAGUUUAUCACGUUCUAUCAACUUGCAUUUAUAUUUUGUGCUGAUUUCUCUUGAAGUAAGGAUUGCUUACUUUUUUUCUUUUUUUACAUAUUACUGAAACUGGUAUUCUGAGCAAUCACAAUGACCUCUGUUACAUCACUUUAAAAAAAUGGAUUUGCUGACGUGUCUGUGUAAAGUGUGGGCAUUUGGUUGCUUUUGCAAGAUGGUUUAAAUCCCUUACGGCAGCUUUAACACCUGCUGCAUUUCAAUCAUGCAGAGCCAUUUUCAAGAAAACAUAAACAUCUCCAGAAGGUUGUUGCAUCAGAUCGCAGGACAAAUGUGCAGUUAAAGGACAACAACGGGGUUGAGAAUUACAUCUGUGCUACUGUCUGACGCACACAGAGGUACAUAAAAUCAGAGAUUGCCAAAGAAGAUUAUCACCCACUCUGACAUCCAAUCCACAACCACCAGCUACCCUCACGGCCUCAUGGUUCAAUGCUUAACACUCUUGAUUGCACCAAAUCAAGUAGCAGGUAGCAGCCCUCAAUCAUCAGUAUAAAAUAACAGUGUGAUGUGUCUUUAAUUGGAACUUUCCCUACACAAUGUUGUGAUGAUUGUUGAGCUCAGACAAAACCACAUUAAACGCAACUUGGUGCAUUAGUAUGGAAUCUCUAAAGGAAAAGAAAAAUUUGCUGAAGAUUGUCAGUCUAAGGCAGGUGUCUCCAACCCUGGUCCUAGAGAGCUACUGUCCUGCAGAUUUCAGCUCCAACCCCAAUCAAACACACCUGAACCAG